rnacentral:rRNA from 1 species
AGCUUUUCUGUAGCAAUACAGAGGAGCUUCUAGUGGCGCACGGGUGAGUAACACGUGGGCAACCUGCCCUUGAGUUCGGGAUACCCUCUCGAAAGGGAGGCUAAUACCGGAUACGUUCUUCGGAUCGCAAGGUCUGGAGAGGAAAGGUAGCGAAAGCUGCCGCUCUUGGAGGGGCUCGCGGCCUAUCAGCUAGUUGGUGAGGUCAUGGCUCACCAAGGCGAUGACGGGUAGCUGGUCUGAGAGGACGACCAGCCACACGGGAACUGAGACACGGUCCCGACUCCUACGGGAGGCAGCAGUGGGGAAUUUUCCGCAAUGGGCGAAAGCCUGACAGAGUGACGCCGCGUGGGGGACGAAGGCCUUCGGGUUGUAAACCCCUGUCAGAGGGAAAGAAGGGUCGGCGCGUGAACAGCGCGUCGAUCUGACGGUACCUUCAGAGGAAGCCCCGGCCAACUCUGUGCCAGCAGCCGCGGUAAGACAGAGGGGGCAAGCGUUGCUCGGAAUUACUGGGCGUAAAGGGCGCGUAGGCGGGAUGGCAAGUCGGUCGUGAAAUCCCUGGGCUCAACUCAGGGGGGUCGGCCGAUACUGCCAUUCUUGAGGGAUGCAGAGGAGACUGGAAUUCCCGGUGUAGCGGUGAAAUGUGUAGAGAUCGGGAGGAACACCGGUGGCGAAGGCGGGUCUCUGGGCAUUCCCUGACGCUGAGGCGCGAAAGCGUGGGGAGCAAACGGGAUUAGAUACCCCGGUAGUCCACGCGGUAAACGAUGACGACUAGGUGUGGGGGGGGGUUAAG